rnacentral:rRNA from 1 species
AGCAGCCGCGGUAAUUCCAGCUCCAAUAGCGUAUAUUAAAGUUGUUGCAGUUAAAAAGCUCGUAGUUGAAUUUCGGGGUUAGCAGGUCGGUCGUGCCAUCGGUAUGAACUGGUCUCGCUGAUCCCUCCCUCUUGACGAACUGUGAUGCCAUUAAUUUGGUGUCGCAGGGAAUCAGGACUGUUACUUUGAAAAAAUUAGAGUGUUUAAAGCAGGCUCACGCUUGAAUACAUUGGCAUGGAAUAAUGAAAUAGGACGUUUGAUCCUAUUUUGUUGGUUUCUAGGAUUGACGUAAUGAUUAAUAGGGAUAGUUGGGGGCAUUAGUAUUCAAUUGUCAGAGGUGAAAUUCUUGGAUUUAUUGAAGACUAACUACUGCGAAAGCAUUUGCCAAGGAUGUUUUCAUUAAUCAAGAACGAAAGUUAGGGGAUCGAAGACGAUCAGGUACCGUCGUAGUCUUAACCAUGAACUAUGCCGACUAGGGAUCGGACGAAGUUAAUUUUAUAAUGACGCGUUCGG